GGUUGAUUAGCUCAGUUGGUUAGAGCGCCGAGCUAAUAACUCGGAGGCCAUCGGUUCGAGACCGAUAUUGACCA